UCUGCGUCCGCAUCGUCUUUCGUGUGUUUCUGUGUUGAAGAGGCGCUGAGCACAGUAGCUAUCGGUGUCUCUUCGUUUUAUUCCGAUUACGAAUCCUCAUCAGUUCUCACUGGGGACAGAUCUACUACAUAGAAGCAACCGAGAGCAUGUUUUGUUUUCAGGAGGUAAAUAAGACCCACGGACACCGUGUAUAAGCAUUUCUGAAGGGACUGCUUGAGAGUUUAAAGGAAAGGAGAGAAUAUAACAUUUGCUAGCUAGCUUGUCAGCUCUAGCUUGCUAUCUAUCUGCAAGGGGGAGGGUAACGUUAACCCACUGGAAAAAGGAAGCAGAGAGUGAGAAAGACGACAAACCAGCCGUCAUUAGUUGCUUCAAGCAAUCAGGGGUUGCCCGCUCUGUGUGAGUUCGAGGCCCCGUUUGGCGGAUCGUACUACGCACUAGCUUAUUAGCUAGCUACCAGAGUCUACCCAGAGGUUCUCGGAAGAGAGACAGUUCUGUUUGUGGGCCACUGUGAGGAGCAGAAUCAAUGCCAAGCCCUUCUCCUCCUCGGAUAGCCUAGCGAAGGUGCAGGAGGUCGCAAGCUGGCUUUUGGAAAUGAACUCAGAUCUGCUGGGGGGGGCGGGCAGGCGGAGGAGGCCG